UACGUAGGGUGCGAGCGUUGUCCGGAAUUAUUGGGCGUAAAAGAGCUCGUAGGCGGUUUGUCGCGUCGGCCGUGAAAUCUCCACGCUUAACGUGGAGCGUGCGGUCGAUACGGGCAGACGUUGAGUUCGGUAGGGGAGACUGGGAAUUCCUGGUGUAGCGGUGAAAUGCGCAGAUAUCAGGAGGAACACCGGUGGCGAAGGCGGGUCUCUGGGCCGUAACUGGACGCUGAGGAGCGAAAGCAUGGGGAGCGAACAGG
rnacentral:rRNA from 1 species